AACAUUGGGAGUGCUGGCUCAACAAAGCCAUUUUAGUUUCUUAGUUCUUGAACCAGGAGACUUUGGAGAAGACAUGAAGCACCUUCCUCAGGAUCCUCCUGAGCAAGAAGGGGCCAACGGGUCUGCGAUCCGCUUUCCAUGGAGCAUCU
rnacentral:lncRNA from 12 species